rnacentral:rRNA from 1 species
UACGUAGGUGGCAAGCGUUGUCCGGAAUUAUUGGGCGUAAAGCGCGCGCAGGCGGUCCUUUAAGUCUGAUGUGAAAGCCCACGGCUCAACCGUGGAGGGUCAUUGGAAACUGGGGGACUUGAGUACAGAAGAGAAGAGUGGAAUUCCACGUGUAGCGGUGAAAUGCGUAGAGAUGUGGAGGAACACCAGUGGCGAAGGCGACUCACUGGCCCGGUACUGACGCUGAGGCGCGAAAGCGUGGGGAGCAAACAGG